rnacentral:rRNA from 1 species
CAGCAGCCGCGGUAACACGUAGGGUGCAAGCGUUAAUCGGAAUUACUGGGCGUAAAGCGUGCGUAGGCGGUUUGUUAAGUCUGCUGUGAAAUCCCCGGGCUCAACCUGGGAAUGGCAGUGGAUACUGGCAAGCUAGAGUGUGUCAGAGGAUGGUGGAAUUCCCGGUGUAGCGGUGAAAUGCGUAGAGAUCGGGAGGAACAUCAGUGGCGAAGGCGGCCAUCUGGGACAACACUGACGCUGAGGCACGAAAGCGUGGGGAGCAAACAGGAUUAGAUACCCGCGUAGUCCCUGUCUCUUAUAC